rnacentral:rRNA from 1 species
UACGUAGGGGGGCAAGCGUUGUCCGGAUUUAUUGGGCGUAAAGAGCGUGUAGGCGGCUUUACAGGUCCGUUGUGAAAACUCGAGGCUCAACCUCGAGACGCCGGUGGAAACCGUAAAGCUAGAGUCCGGAAGAGGAGAGUGGAAUUCCUGGUGUAGCGGUGAAAUGCGUAGAUAUCGUAAGGAAGACCAGUGGCGAAGGCGGGUCUCUGGACAGUUCCUGACGCUGAGGCACGAAGGCCAGGGGAGCAAACGGGG